ACAAUACCAUGUUGUUUACGUCAGAGGUCGGUGUCUUAUGUCGAUCUCUAAUCCUCCCACCACCCCCCAUUGGGCAGACGUGACAGAUGAUGUGCGGCAGCUCAUCCGUCAGCGCCUUCAGGAUAAAUUUGACAUGGAUUUGAGUGUUCCGCAUAUCUCCCAUGCCGUCGACAACAUGAUUAAGUAGCGGUUCAAGGAUUACUGCGGUAAGUUGUUUCAGGCUCUCGCUGCACGCUUACCCACCGAUGCCCCACCACCUCCACCUUCAUCUUUGUGAUUUUUUGUAUUUUUGUUUAUGAUGUUAAACUUAUAUGUAUUUAUGCGUGAAUGAAUGUGACGUGGAUAAGAUUGUUUGUGUUUGGA